GUUACAAUGAUGUCAUCUGUGUUAAAAGUCAGUCAUUAUGAUAACUAUGCUUCUUACAUCUGAGAAGAGGGACAUAUUUCAAACUUUCUGGCUGUCAUUUUGAAGAACUACAGGAUUCUUAAGGCAGUCAGUCCAAAGAAUAAAUGAUCUGAAAAGCUGUAGAUUGAAAGAACCAUGCCAGUUGCUCUGACUCCAGACAGAGAACGAAGAAAUCCUCUACGAGCCCCAUGGGUUCACAGAAGUCUAUCAAUCACACUGUCAGUCUUCCGGAUCAUAAUUCAAGUUGCCUUCCCCAAUUUUGCUGGAUAUAUCAGAUCUACUCCAGCUCCAUAGGAGUGAACACAAAAAGGACGAAAAGCAGAGAGGAAGAAAGCAUAUUUAAGGUUUCCAGCAUAUUCUAUCUUACAGGAUGAACUAAGAUUUAGGACAGUUUCCUACGAUGUACCUUGAUGUUGGAAAAGAAAACCAAACCAAGAUGCAGAGGCCGUGAGUUCAAAGCUAAGUUCUGCCCAUUACCAAACAUAAUGUUAUAGACGAAAUGCUUGUGUGCUUGCAAAUAUCGUAUGCUGAAACCUAAUCCCCAACGUGAUGUUAUUUGAAAAUAAGGCCUUUGAGAAUUGAUCAGGUGAUUACGGAUUCAUGCCCUUAUAAAAGAGCCCAGACAAAUCCUCACCCCUUUUACCCUGUGAGGACACAGUGAGAGACAGUCCUCUAUGAACCAAGAAUCAGAGACUCAAGGCAGCUUCCUCAUCUGGUGCCUUGCUCUUGGACUUUCCAGCUCCAGAACCACAAGAAAUAAAUUUUUCUGGUUUCGAAGCCACGCAGUCUAUGGCAGUUUGUUAUGAAUAGACUAAGACACAUAACUUCCGUAAAAUAUUUCACCUAUUUAAGUUCAAAUGUCUUCAUCUAUUGAAUGAGUGUAUUGAACUAAGACAGCAAUUUUUGUAUUUUGUUUUAAACUGAGUUCCUUGGAGCCUCAGGGAUUCUUUUAUAGGGUUUGGGUAAAAAAGAGGUGUGUGGAUAUAGGAAAGCUGGGUCUCAUCAGCAAGGAACUGAGCUAAAGGCCAGGUCUCAACAGGACUGUAAAAUUGGUUGAUUGGGAAGAAUAGCACAAUCUUUUGACAGCCUCCAGGUCUUACUUUUAUGUACUUCCUCUUCUUUUGUAGUUUUAAUAACUAUCCUGUCAACAUACUACCUUUAAAAACAUUGAUAUUUGGCACUUUGGGGAAAGGUGCUCAGGGGAAUAGCAAAUCAGUUCUGCUUUCAUCUGUCAUUCAGACUGGAUGACUGGGAUAAAUUUUUAUUGUAUGAAUCUAUGUUAUUUUUUAUUUCCCCUUUCCUUUUCCCUGUCUCGUUUAGUAUCUUAGCACCUAGCGGUGGGUAGCAGGAGGAGGUAGUGGUGGUGGAAGCCCCAAUAUCUCUAGGUGGGUUUCUGAACUGAACCAGCUUCAGGCCUAUCUAAGCUGGAAUUGUGACUGGAAAUGAACGAUUGCAUGUGCUUUACAAAUCUCUUAUGCCAACGAACUAGAAUCUCAAUAAGAUCUAGACAUAAAUUUUUUAAAACUUUAACAAAUUGCAAGAUUUCAUUUUAAUUCCUCCUAAUUGAGAAAAACACAUAGUUCAAAAUGAUAAUGGAUUCAAAUACUUCAUUAUUACCUAAUUUGUUUGAAUCGAACUAAGCAAAGAUUACAUUAUUAAUCCUUCAUCCAGAUAUUUUAAGUUCAACUUGGGAGCUAAUAUAAGGAUGAAUGUAUUCUAGCAUAGAUAGAAGAAAAAUACAAUGUACGUUAAACACAUUUUUGCCGUAUUUUACAGUAGCAGCCUAUCUUCUUAAAUUUUCACACAAAUGUUUAGUGGAAAUGACCCAUUUAUGAUGGAAUUAUCUUUUUCGUAUUUAUAAACUUCUUCCUAUUACUUCUAAAGUAAAUUUUAAAAAUAAAAAUAGGAAGUUCAAAGUUUGAGACCCAAAACAAUUUGUUUGUAAUAAUAAUAACAAUUUAUUCAAAAAGCUUCUUAAGGCUUGGCACAGUGGCUUAUGCCUAUAAUCCUGCCAUAUUGUGAGGCUGAGACAGAAGGAUUGCUUGAGUCUAGGAGUUCAAGACUAGCUUCAGCAACAAAGCUAGACUCUGACUCUAUAAAAAAUUUAAAAAUUAGCAAGUGUAGUGGCGUGCACCACAGUCUCAACUAUUUGGGAGGCUGAGGAGGGAAGAUUGCUUGAGCCCAGGAGUUUGAGGCUGCAGUGCACUAUGAUGCCACUGCAGUGUACUCCAGCCUCGGAG